rnacentral:tRNA from 1 species
GGGGUUGUGGCUCAGCGGUAGAGCGCUCACCUAGCAUGUGCAAAGCCCUGUGUCUGAUCCUCAGCACCACAUAAAAAUAAAUAAACAAAAUAAAGGUAUUGUGUACAACUAAAAAAUAAAUAUUGAAGUGAAAAGAAAAGAAUAUGGUCUUGGGAGUUGAGGUUGUGACUCAGUAGUAGAUUGUUCGCCUGGCAUGCUUGAGGCACUGAGUUCAAUUCUCAGCACCACA